CUUUGGAUAAGGCAAAGAAGACCUAAGACACAGAGGAAAAGAUAACCUAUCAAUACAAGUAAACUAGUGCCGUAUGGUCGUUGGCCGGUGGUGGGUGGUCCCCUGCAGGAAGGUGAGGUGCCGGAGGUCCCUCCACCCCCUCUGGACAUCAAGGGGUCUCCGGCGUACACUGUACAUGUGAUUCUGGACUCUAGACGCCAGGUAUGUUUUGAUGUGAGAGGAUGCCAACCCCCAGUCCCAUCAUCGCCACCUCACCCGCUCUUAAGAUAACCGUCGGGCCGACUGGGAGUCCAAGGCUGGUUAGGAGACACCACUAGAGACACUUAUGUAAUUGUGAUGAACUGAGAGAAUAUUAGAGUAGCACUGUGAUUCAUGAAUCACGUGCUGCCUUCCCUGCUCCUAUGUCCUUACUGUCACAUCUGCUCCUGCAACGCUACUCUGUCCUGGAUUCCCCACUUUACUACUCCCUUAGAUUCCCCUCCGAGGGAGAUUAUCAGUGGUCUUGUAUGUCUUCCAUUUCCUAAUAAUUGCUCCCACAGUUGAUUUCUUCAA